UUUUGUUAAUUUCGGCAGAAAUUAAGGUCUGCCAUAUUAUUCCGGUGAUUGGUGGCGGUUUUUGUAGAAUACGGUGGUUUAAAACUGCCAUUAUCUUUAGUCUUUCUUAAAGACUUAGAAGUGAUGUUGUUGUGCAUAGGAGAGGAUGAGAAUAAAAGUAAUGUUGCGAAUGAGAGAAUGAGUGUGACGAACCUAACCCUAAUUUUCUGCCACCGUUCAUCUUCUAACCACCGCUCAGCUCCAAGUUGCCGUAAGCAACGUUAUCAUUGUUGUUGCCCUUGGCGGAGGUUCUAGAUCUGCUUCUCUGGCUUCGAUUUGAGGUUUUAUCGUCGUCGUUCAUCUCCGCCGCCAUUCAUUUGCUCGGCAUCGCUCAGCUCCAAGUUGCCGUAAGCAAUGUUAUCGUUGUUGCUGCCUUUGGCGGAGGUUCUAGAUUUGCUUCUCUGGCUUCGAUUUGAGGUUUUAUUGCCGCCGUUCAUCUCCUCACUGCCGUUCAUCUGCUCGUCGCCGUUCAUCUCCUCACCGCCGCAAGCAACAACGUUGAUGUUGCCUUCGGUGGAGCUUCUGCAAUCUAAUUUUUUGCUUUGAUUUGAGGGUUUGCUUUCUGUUCACAACCAUUCAUCAUCUCCUCGCUGCCGCAAGCGAUGCCGUUGUUUCUCUCUCUGGCGGAGCUUCUGAGAUCUAGUCCUUUGGCUUCAAUUUGCAGAUUCAAUCUGGUUCUCUAGCUGUGAAGCUAUUGUUGCUGCCUCCAACUAAGCUUGUAUGAUUUGGUUCUACCAUCCAUAUCAAUUCACAAGGACAUUAGAUUCUUCGAGUUGAACACAGGUGCCAAGAUACCUUCUGUGGGAUUAGGAACUUUUCAGGCUGAAAAUCCUGGAGCCUUGGCCAAAGCAGUUACCACCGCUAUCAAGAUUGGUUCUGCUCUCAAGAAGCUUUUUGAUAAGUUGAGAUCUCAAUAGCUUGACAUACAUUAUUCAAUUCCAAAGACAAUGCUCCAGAAAAGGAUAUUUGGUCAUGGUGGUGUGAUGAUAUCUGGUCUUGAUUCAUCUGUUUCAAAUGACUAACUUAAGCAUAUUUUUGGAUUAUAUGGAGAAAUUAAAGAAAUCUAUGAAUCUCUUGAAGUGAAUCAUGUGAAAUUCAUCGAGUUCUAUGAUGUGCGAGCUGCCAAAGCUUCUCUUGGAGCUUUAAACAGGAUCUGCAUUCCUGGGAAGCAAAUCAAGCUUGAACAUGGCCAUCCUAGAAUUGCUAUGUAUUGGCUCGGGGCUGGUGCUAUGCAGGUAGUACUAAUAUUUUUCUCUGAACUGUUAUUACCUUUUAGAUAUAUCACUAUAUUUUAUAAUGUAUUCAGUAGUUUGCUUUCCCAAUUCUUGUACUGGUUGUGAGAUGUGAGAUAAGGUAGCAUUUGGUUAUUUUUGUAGCACGUGUACAAACUCUAUAGCUUGUAACCAAAUCCUAACUCAUUCAAAAUGUUUUAGAUUAUAGCUUCAGAUCUUGUAACCAAACCUUGAGUUCUAUAAGUGUGAAUCAAGUUGAUCCUUCUAUCACCAAUCACUACAAAAGGGGGUUUUCUAAGAGAGGUAUAUUAGUAUCUUUCUACUCAAAUAUAGUCAAAAGUGUGGCACUCUAUAAAUCAUUGUAAGUUUAAAUUCUAAAUUUUGUGGUUCAGCUCUCUUAUAUGUAAGUUUAAAUUGUAUGUUGAAUUGUCUCAGUUAAACUUUGCAACUGAGAAACAUUUUGCAACUGAGAAACAAAGAAGAGAGCAACUGAAUGGCAAAUACAAAAUCCUGAGAAGUCUUAUCCCAAGCCCCACAAAGGCUUUGCUACAGGCUCUUGGUGAUAGGAAGGGUAUUAAUCGGUUUGGUGACUUCUCUGCUCCACUUGAUGAAGCAUUAAUACACGUUUCACUGGUAAUUCACACACCAAUUGCAGAAAUGAUCAUUAGACAUUAGUCCAAGUCUGAAGCUGAUUGCUAGAGCUCAUCAGCUGGUUAUGGAUGAAUUUAACUGGGCUCAUGAACAAAAGGUGGUUACGACUUUCAGUGCACCCAACUACUGUUACCGAUGUGGGAACAUGGCUUCCAUAUUGGAGGUUGAUGAUUGCAAGGGCCACACAUUUAUCUUGGUUGGUGCAAGAGACAUUUUCUUGCCAGGAAGAGGUUGGCGCAACCAUGCCUCUGUUUGCCUCGAUCGCAGGGACACUCGCUUAGGUUCAUCUAAGAAAUAGAUCAAACAGCUUCCUUUUCUGGAUAUUUAAGCAACAAGCAAAAAUUUAACCCAGAUUUCUACAAUUGGAAUAGAAUCAAGGUUAAAUAUUGUGAUGGUUCAUUGUUUACUGGUGACAUCGAAGCAGUGGAUCCUAGGAGGAAGAAUUUUCGUUGCUUUCAUUGAAGACUUGCUGGCAAAAGAAAUGAGAAAUACUCAAAAUGUAAGCAACAUUAUUUAUUUAUGUUCCAAAUGAUUGGGGUUCACUAAUUGAAAAUUGUAAGUACAGGCUAUUCUUUC